rnacentral:rRNA from 3 species
AUUAAUAAGCGGAGGAAAAGAAACCAACCGGGAUUCCCCGAGUAAGGGCGACUGAAACGGGAAAAGCCCAGCGCAUAACCUCGCGGUCCUUGUUUGGCCGUCGAGGGGUGUUGCGUUCCGGUGGAUCCGUCCCGCUCGAGCCGCUUACCGCCUAAGUCAUUGCUUGAAAGCAGCCCCAGGGAGGGUGAUAGGCCCGUGUGGCGGCGCCUGUAAAAAGGGUGAAGGCGGCCCGGGCGGAGGGAUCUUCACCGUAGAGUCGGGUUGCUUAGUACUGCAGCCCUAAGCAGGUGGUAAACUCCAUCUAAGGCUAAAUACAACCACGAGUCCGAUAGAGAACAAGUACCGUGAGGGAAAGCUGAAAAGGACUUUGAAGAGAGAGUUCAAAAGGACGUGAAACCGUUAGGAGCUUAAACGGGUGGAACCGCGAAGGUCGAACGAGGGGAUUCAGCUCGUGGGCCUCCGGCGAGCAGGGUGCGUUUCAUACGAAUUACCAUGAGAGGACCCGGCGUGAAUUGGAAUUGCCGUGGCCACGCCCCUGCCUCCGGAGUGCCUCUGGGCUUACUUCUCCCUCUAGUAGGUCGCCGCGACCCGUUGCCUCGGACCCCCAGGGCCGUGCUGGAUUGGUAGCCCGGAUCUCACGGUCCGGGUGAUGACCGGCUGCGGUUCCGACGGGCCCGGGCGACGGUCACUGCCAGGAGGCCGGGCCGGGGUUUACUCCGGUUUUGGCGUCUCGCGGCGUGCAAGGGAUCGGUAAUCCACCCGACCC